AUAAAAUAAUGUACUACAACUUUGCAGAACACAUUAUUUUCUACAAAAAAAGUCGCGGCAGCAUAUAUCUAUCUUCUAUAUUUUAGCAGAUAUAGUACCUUUUGUACUUUAAUAAAUUAUUUAAAUUUUAUACUAAGGUUUACGUCAUUAUUUACACAACUAAGCUUAAAUCUUUAUCAAAAUAAUAUUGCUUAAUAAUCAAGAGGAUAUUAUAGAGAUAAGAUUUGCCUUUUACAAUAUGUUAAUUAGUCAUAUAGUUUCGGAGAUAAUUCAAUAUUUCUAAAAGACGCAAUAAUGCCGCUAAAAGACGCCCCGCGGUUUCACCCACGUAGUUCCUGUUCCCGAAAGAACGCGGAGUAAGAAAAUUUAAAUGAAAUACAAAUAACGUAGCUUUCUAUUGGUGAAAGAAUUUUUAAAAUCGGUUUUGUAGAUCCAGAGAUUACCCCCUAUACCAGUACCACUUACAAUCUAAAUAUAUAAAACUCAAAGGUGACUGACUGAUAUAGUGAUCACUGAAGUGAACUAACCAUUGGAAAGAUCGGGCUGAAAUUUGGCAUGCAGGUAGAUUUUAUGACGUAGACAUCCGCUAAGAAAGGAUUUUGAUCAAUUCUACGCCCAAGGGGAUGAAAGUUUGUAUGAAACUUUGUCAAUUUUAAACUGAUUUUGCUGAAAUUUGGAUUAAAAAUAGAUUUUACUCUGGAUUAACACAUAGGCUACUUUUCAUCCCGGAAAAAUCCAUGGUUCCCGUGGGAUUUGUGAAAAACUAAAUUUCACGCGGACGAAGUCGCGGGCGUCCGCUAGUUGUUAAAAUAAGCCCAACGUAUUAUCAAGUCUUGAAAAAAUAUUUAAUUAAUCUUUCCUUUUGUUUCAGAGUGAAGAAAUGUGGCUUCCUAUUCAACAAGUUGUCAGAAACAAUUAUAUUGUUAUUAAAUACGGUGCCGUACGUAAUUUAGAUACGUUGCACACAAUAUCGCGGUUUUGGACAAUGGGGCAAUAUAACCAUAGAAGCGGAUAUGCGAAGGUUCAAACUGCUAGUGAUGCAGGUGAUGUUACACAUACAACGGAAAACGAAGCUGCAGUGACAAGGGGCGUGAACAUCAGUUUCGGAAGUAUCGAGGAAGUGUCCCGUUUGAGCUUAUUACAUCUGUCGCUAUUAAACGGACUUAUAUAAUUAUUUUUGUAUCAGAAAAGACAUAAACACUAAAGUAACUAAAAGACACUAAAAAGACAUGAACAUUUAACCAACUUCAAAAGAGUAAAUAAAAAAAAAAAAAUAUAAUAAGUUACAUAGGCUUCAAUUAAAAUGUAAUUUUUGUAUCUUACAUAAGAUUAAAGUAAACUCUAAACUUGGAACUUUGAAACUUAGCAAUCUUCUUCAGUUCUGUCACCAGAACACACAUUACUCUACUAUACUAUAAUGAUAAUGUAAAACUUGAUGUUGUAGCCAGGAUUUACCUACUCUUUUGAAGUUGAUUAAAAUUCAAUUAUUAAAACAAUAAAAACUUUUUUAUUUAGGUUAUUCAUUACCGUAUUGUUCUUUCUGCGUUAUCAAAAUUAUUUCAUUAGUAUAAUAAAAUACUUCAAAAGUAAGUUUUUUUAUCUGUGAUCUUUUAGAUUGUUUAAAAAGUCUGGUUUUUUGUACAUAUUAAAUUUUAUUUAAGAGUAACUGUAGUAUAACUACUGGCCAAAGAAAUAGUUAAACUAAAAAAUAGUUCUUAGAUUUUGUUAAAAAAACUACCUACUAUAAAUUGUCUAUAUAUGUCCGUUUAAUAGUAGAUAUAAUAUGUUUAAAAUGAAGGUUGGUAUUUACUGAUUUAUUAUUUUUAAAUAGAAUAAUUUGCAUUUAGUUGAAGAAGAUGAUAUUUUUUAUGUAUUUUUACGGUGAUUUAGGAUUUUUGUUUUUUGACUUUCUUUAAAUAGGUAUCUCGAUGUAUUAUGUUACAUCAUACUGUAAUUAUUCUGAAGUAUAAAUUAACGAAUGUUGUAUCAUAUUGGGAUUUUAUGUAGUGACUUCAAUUUUCUAUGUGGUUUUCAUAUGGAUAGUAAUCGUGUUUAAUUUUAUUUUUUUAUUUGUGUUAUUUUUUACACUUCAACAUCAGAGGAAUAAGCAUUAUAAGGUUAAUAGUAGAAGAGAUGCGUCCGAAUAAAGAUUAUGCAGGAUUCGUUACACAGUGGACUUCUGGUCCAGUUCGCUAUAUUAUAGCGAGGUAUUUUAUUGAUAGACGUAUGUUCGUAGCGUGACUGCUCUGCGAAGUGUUCUACUGUUAUAGGUGAUUAUCACAUUAUGUAUACCGUAUGUUUGUUUUGUCAACUUAUUAAUCCACUGAAAACAUAUUUAAAGACAAUAUUUAUUUGUCGUGUUUUAAAUGAAAUCUACUACCGGCUCAAUAUUCUCGUCUCGUCUCUCCCAAACUACAUUUCUACUUAACGUCAUGUAGACCAUCUGUUUGUUCUGUCAACUAUCACGUAAGACAACAUAUUCAACGUCAAAAUUGUUCAAUUCAAAUGGUCCGCGGUUCAGAAGACUUUGCAAUAGAACAGUCGAACCAAUAACGCCCAAGGAUUCUCCAAUGUUCCGUCGUGCAGUGCCAUCAAAUUCACACAAAGGAUGUUUUAUACCGUACGUUGAGGGUGUUUCAACAAAAUUAUACAGUGUUUUGUUGAUAAUGAAGCCAAACUACUGCAGAAUAAAUAUCUAACCGCACGCGCCACGAAUGAAGUUCCGCGGCUAAAAGCUGAACUAAAAUUGACAUCGCCUUACACAAAUGACAAUAGGACCGCCAUUACGGGACUUGUUUGGUGGAGCGGAGUAUAUUAUCCCUUUGCGAAAAUUGGAUCAAGGAGCUUUAUUGCCACGUACAUACUAAACAGUAAAAGUUUUGAAAAAAAAAACGUUAUAGCAUUAAAUCUCUACAGUGUUCUAAUACUUCUUUUACGUUACCUCUAUCUUCUACAGUGUACUUUACUAUUUCUAUUGCUUUACCUCUCCAUAUCGCCAUCGAUCACUUAUAACCUGAGAUAUUUAGAUUAUUAAAAUGUAAUAAUUGAUCUUAUUAAUAACGUGUUAGAAAUAAAAUUUGUACAUUGAUGAAACAUAAACAUGAACCUUAUGACCUUAAAAUAUAAAUACGUAUAUUUUAAGUAGGUGUAAAUAAUAGAUUUUAAGUCUGAUAACGGUACAAACAUCAUUCUGAUAUAUAUAUAAAAAAAAAACAAAAAAAAAACAAAAAAACGAAAAAAAAGAACAAAAAAAAAUACAAAAUAGGCCUCGGAAUAAUAAUAAUGAAUGUAGAUUAGGAACUUUGGCCCUUUCGCUGUUAUCUGCCUUCGACUGAUAUUAACUGAUUUAAAAGCGCAUUUAACAAUGCAAUUUAUUAUCCAUUAUGACAUAAAUAAUUUUUAUAUUUUAUUUAUUAUAAUUUAUUUUAGCAACGUAUCUUUUAUAUAAUUUGUAAACAAAUUUCUGAUGAACACAUUUACAAAUUUUUUUCAAAAUUCAAAAUUCGCUCCGCAGCCGAGAUUUCUAAAUGUAAUACAUAAUAUACACGUAUAAUAUAUGUAUAUAUACACGAAUUUCUCGUUUAAAUAAAUAUCCAAUUUAUUGUUCACGCUAAAUAUCGCCUGCUCUUAUUUAAUAACUAUAUGUCACUAAGGAAUCGUUGCUUAUACCUACUGGAUUUGAUGAUCACAAACGGCGCAGAUUCUCAUCCCAAUAAAGUUGAAACAAACUUGAUAUGCCACUUUUGGAACGCGUAUUACAUAACUACACUCUCCUUUCGUGUGUUAAAUAUAUAGGAUGGUCGUUUUCGAGCCAUCAACUCACUACUGAACUCGAGUCUCUUCUCACAAUGCGAGGAGUUAGGCCAAUAGUCCACCACGCUAGCCCAAUGCGGAUAGGCAGACUUCACCCACGCAUAUAAUUAAGAAAAAUCUCUGGUAUGCAAAUAUAGGAUAGUGCGUGUGCAAAAGUUUGAUAUUAUUUUUCAAUAAAAUGUAUGACAGUUAAUGUCAUAAUUACUCUCAUAUAUUAUAUAAACUGUAAUUAUGAUUUUAAUUGAUAUCGGAAAACCGUUAAUCCAGAGGUGUUGUUACCGCAGUAUCAGCCUUAUCAAAAUUACGGGCCCCCCGACCUACAGGGGCCUCUUUCGUGUGAAAGCAAAUCUUGGUAAAAUGUUAUCCACAAUCUCACUUGAUCUUUUUCUUCCCGGAAAAAAUCACACAAAAAUCUGCCUACAGAGUUUCACUUCAGAAAUGACAAAAGACAAAAAACAAGUGCAAGUUAAGCUCGCGUGAAAAGAAACGUUGUUACCUAAAAUUAAAAUUAUAAAAUGUUAAGGCUCAAAUAGAAUUCCUAAUAGUGGGUUUUAGGCGUGCUUCAUAAUCAAUUAAUUGGAAGCUAUUCAUUUUAGAAUUGUAAAAAAUAUAUAAAUACUUGAGAUCCUCAUAAGAAACUCUUUGAUUCAACAAGUCACACGAUACAGUUUGCAGUUUUUUUUUUACUUUUCUAUCUCGCCCCCCAAAAGGGACCAAUUUUUUUAAGUAAGUCAGAAAACAGCUAAAGGGCCUUACUCAUUUGCCAGGUGUAACUGUAACCGAACAGACACUAACAAGACCUGGGAACUCGAUUAGAAUCAUCUUCGCUCGGGCCAUUUGACAUUCCAACUUAUGGCUCGCUGCUUAAAUGUAACUGAGACACAAGUUUGUAGCCGACUACACACAACAGCAGCAAGCACGUGCUUGUUUAUUCAUUCAACAUGACACGUGGCUUCUUCCUCUUUUAACAAAAUAUAUAAUAUAGAAUUGAACCUCAUUUUCAAACAUGUCAUUAAUUUUGUUUCACGAAACUCUCAAAACUAACUGGAAUACGGCGCUGUCAUAAUUAUGCUGCUGUUGUAGAUAAGUUCAGAAUUAUGACUGCAGCGAUAUGUCGCCUGUUGCUGAUUUCUGUAGUCUUCUUCUUCGAGCUAUGCUCGCUCCUUUACAGUUGCAGCUCCCUAUUGAGUGCGCGCCUUUAGAUACGCUAGUGGCUUAUAGUCUGUAUUGUAUAACUAAGGUUAUGUUGUAGAAAAUAAUUAGGAGCCUAUAAUAACAUUAAUUCUGUAAAUCAUUUUAUUGAAUUUCAGUAAUAAUUAAAAACUACUUCAUUAUUUUACUUCGUUACAAAUAAAUUCAUUCAAAAAAGUUUUAAUUCAAUUUUGAAAUAUCGGUGAUUAAGUUUUUUAAAAUAUUUGCUAUGUUGUUUAAAAUGUUUAUAUCGUUUAACAUCCGUUAAAAUCAAAAUUAUUACUAUUAAAUUAAUUUAUAAGUAGCUAUAAUAAUCAACGUGUUUUAAUAUAAUUAUGAAGUGUAUAUUAAAAAUGAUACUUCUUAUGAGCAGUAGCCGUACAUUCAUCAAGCAAAUUGAGUAGCAUGUACAUAGUUAAUUUUAGGAAUGUGUAAAAGAUUAUAAGUCAAUGUAAAUAUGAAUCAAAAUGGUAGUACAAUGAUAUAUACAAUACACAUAGCUUAUAAUGUAUUGUAACGAUUUAGUCUAAUAAAAUUAAUUUGUUUGACUAAAAUAUAUUAUUAGUCACGUGUAAGUAUAAUGUCAUGAGUUCGUUUAGGCCAUUCUCCCCCGAGACAAUCGCCACGUGACUCGAGUUGUGUACUAUUUACGUUUGUAUUUUUGAAAAAAAUUGAAAACUGUAGGAAAUAUUAAUAUCGCUUUUAUAAAGUAAGCGAUCGAUAAGAGAAAAAGUCUCAAAAAGAUGAUUUUUCAGAUUCACAUAUAAUAAACCAUUAAGCUUUAAAUUCAUUAGUCAUCUUUUAAUUUUUAGGUAGAUUAUGGUUAUUGAAAGUUUCCUUUAUCCUUCACUCGACAUCGUAGGUACGACUUAAGAAAAAGAAAUGAAUACAGUGCGCUGUGUGCAGAAAUCGAAUUAAUGGUGAAGCAAAUCUUUAUGGGUGACUUGUGGGUUGCGUCUCAGUCGCAUAGCUCUAUCUAUCUCUGUGGGAGAAAGGCAAAAAAGGCCUUACAUUAUCUUGACGUAACUUAGGUAAAUUCUAUAAUAUUAUGGUCUAUGAUUAAGCUGUAAAUGGAGUAUUAAAAGGUCUCGAAGCAUGUAUUAGGUAUAUUGUAUGUAGUAUCACGUAAGGCUAUUUUGAAUUUGGAAUUUUAGUGCCACUGAAAUUACUUUUAAGUAAGUAAAUUAUUUUUGUUGACGUUUUAAUUUUGUUAUAUUUCUCUUUUGGUCUUAAUUUAGUUUCUACAGCAUAAAUUAAGAUAAAAUAAUAGAGUACGGUAAUGGACCAUAAUUUGGUUUUUAAGUAUUGUGUAAUAAUGGUAAAUAAUAUUAAGGUACCGUUACAUAAUGUAUUAAAUAAUAGUCUUAGGUUUAUUCUCCAAUUUCUCGUAAAUAUUAUAUAUUUUUAAAAGUUCAUAGAGUUAAGAAAACUUUUUUCUCUUGCUUGCUUGCUUUCUACUAAUGCUGGUUUAUUUAUAAGAGAUACUUAUGCAUAUAAAGUAUUGGGAACUGUUUUAGAUGAAGUAAGAAAUUGUUUUAAUUAUAUCGAUAUUUUUGGUAUCUCGAGAUUGGCAGAUCCUGAGAUAGCCGCAUAUAAGCAAACAAAAUUCUUCCGUUUUCUUCGCUUUUUAUCAUUAUAGACAAACUAACACAAUUUAUGAAACCUUCCAAAAGUCACAUGUCAAACGAUCUAUUUGUAUAAAAGUUAUUGACAAACAUACAGACAGAUUAAAAUUUUUAUAUCAGCUUUUCUGUCCACUCGCCGUCACGUGUGGUCAACGGAGAGCUAGUCACUUGUUGAUAUAGGUAGUGAGCGUGUUCCCUUAGUACUUACUCCUUACAAGGAAUAUUAACCUGCUCGAUGCGAGACGGUGGUAAUCAGGCGCCGGGUAGCUACAAUACUUAGCAUUGUAAUGACAAUAUAAUCUCUCAAUAUAGGUCUCAGCCACAUCACAGACUAUAACAUAAUAAAUUUUCAUUUCAUUUCAUAAAAAAAAAAAAUAAAAAAAAAAAAGAAAAAAAAAAUAAUUUUACUUGCCUACUGCAUAGUGUUACUAAUAAUAAUUAUCUGUAGAGGAAAAAAAUUACCCAUAAAGCUUUUUCGCAUCUGUCCCACAUAAACCAUUGCAUUUUUUAAAUAUUUAUGUUCUUCUUAAUAGUACUCAUAGAACUCUUCAUUUUAUUGUUUACCACCACCGAUGUGUUUACGUCUUAAAGGUUGUAGUGCUUUAGUUUCCACAUUUGAGUUGUAACUUGUACCAUCAAACAAACUCAAAGCAAAUAUUAUGCUUUGUAAGGUAAUAUUAGUAUGUAAUAGGUUAUGAUUUACCACAUACAAUCAGAUGUAUUUGUGCCAUCAAAUUUCAAUUCAGUACAUGAUUAUAACAAAUUAAGCUUACUAAGAUCGGCAAAAAAAUAAAAUAAGUAUCUAUCGAAUGUAUGUUGCUUUGUAAAGUUUAUGAUGCUUAAACAGCGCUUAUAUACAUAAUAACGUAUUAUAUUAUACUAUAUUAUUAGUAUCAUAAUAGGUGUAGGUUUGGAUUCUUUUAGUUUCACGCUCAUUUGUUGUAAUAAAACAAUUUUACUUAUACCUUCGGGCACUGCCCAUGACCAGAUUAAGGUUGUAAUAUUCAUCGAUUUGUGCUUUUACCCGUCACUGUAUCCUCCGGGUAGGUACUUGUAACGACGUUUUUACGCACACUUGAGUCACGUGUCAUUUACCUUCCGUUUAAACCGCGUAAGUAUCUUCUGAGUAAUAUUUUGAAAAUGUUUGGUAUUGAAAUAAAAGGAUUCUUUCAGUUUGUCACUCAUUUACUGCAGUGCGGUAUGACGUAUACUUUCGGGUAACGCUCUUAUAGAGAUCCUCUUAUAGAGAGAUUCUUUCAGAACAAGAGUGUACCUAAUAUUCAUUAUUCAUCGAUUAUUUUUCCAGUGAUAGCAAAAAAGCUUUUACCCGUCACUUAAUCCUCCGGAUAGGUACUUGCAACGACAUUUUUAACGCGUACUUUAGUGGCGUGUCGUUUACCUUCCGUUUAAAUAGCGCGUAAGUAUUCCUAUAGGUCAAGGAUAUACCUAAUAUUCAUUGAUUACUUUUCCAGUGAUAGUAAAAAUGGUUUUACCUGUCACUGUAUAAUCCGGAUAGGUACUUGCAUCGACAUUUUUAACGCGUACUUUAGUGGCGUGUCGUUUAACUUCCGUUUAAAUAGCGCGUAAGAAUUCCUUUAGGUCAAGGAUAUACCUAAUAUUCAUUGAUUACUUUUCCAGUGAUAGAAAAAAUGGUUUUACCUGACACUGUAUCCUCUGGAUAGGUACUUGCAACGACAUUUUUAACGCGUAAUUUAGUGGCUUGUCGUUUACCUUCCAUUAAAACAGUGCGUAAGUAUUCCUUUAGGUCAAGGAUAUACCUAAUAUUCAUUGAUUACUUUUCCAGUGAUAGUAAAAAUGGUUUUACCUGUCACUGUAUCCUCCGGAUAGGUACUUGCAACGACGUUUUUAACGCGUACUUUAGUGGCGUGUCGUUUACCUUCCGUUUAAAUAGCGCGUAAGUAUUCCUUUAGGUCAAGGAUAUACCUAAUAUUCAUUGAUUACUUUUCCAGUGAUAGAAAAAAUGGUUUUACCUGACACUGUAUCCUCUGGACAGGUAUUUGCAACGACAUUUUUAACGCGUAAUUUAGUGGCGUGUCGUUUACCUUCCGUUAAAACAGUGCGUAAGUAUUCCUUUAGGUCAAGGAUAUACCUAAUAUUCAUUGAUUACUUUUCCAGUGAUAGUAAAAAUGGUUUUACCUGUCACUGUAACUUCCGGAUAGGUACUUGCAACGACAUUUUUAACGCGUACUUUAGUGGCGUGUCGUUUACCUUCCGUUUAAACAGCGCGUAAGUAUUCCUUUAGGUCAAGGAUAUACUUAAUAUUCAUUGAUUACUUUACCAGUGAUAGUAAAAAUAGUUUUAUCUGUCACUGUAUCCUCCGGAUAGGUACUUGCAACGACAUUUUUAACGCGUACUUUAGUGGUAUGUCGUUUACCUUCCGUUUAAACAGCGCGUAAGUAUCGUGUGAGUAGCAUUUUGAAAAUGUUUGGUAUUUCAACAGAAGUACCUAUGAUGCUAUUUUCCUACUAAGAUAGCUAUUUGUUGUAGUUGGGUGUUUAUACCUUCCAGCAACACCCUUGGCCAGAUCAAGGCUAAAAUAUUUAUCGAUAACUUUUCCAAAUAGAAAAAGACUUUCUAUGCACUUAAUUAUAAUUUUGACUAGUUUUUGGUAAUUUAACUGAAAUAAUGAUACGUGUUGAUUAUUUGUUCAAUGCGAACAAGUUGAUAGCGCAGUGGCACCACGGUGCUACGAGCUGCCUUCAGCGUCUGAGCUCCGGUGGUAAAUUUGAGGUAUAAUUUGUAGGACAUUUGUUUCUAGAUGCGAAGCCGAUCUCAGGGUUUCAAGUUAUACCUAAACUUUGCACCUUCCCUUGUGAAACAGAAGGACAUUGCCUUGGAUUCUUCUAGUUUAACGCCCAUUUGCUGAAGUAGGGCAUUUAUACUUUUGGGCAACGCCCUUAGCCAAAUAAGGCUGUAAUAUUUAUCGAUUACUUUUCCAGUGAUGGUAAAAAUGGUUUUACCUGUCACUGUAUCCUCCGGAUAGGUACUUGCAACGACAUUUUUAACGCGUACUUUAGUGGCGUGUCGUUUACCUUCCGUUUAAAUAGCGCGUAAGUAUUCCUUUGGGUCAAGGAUAUACCUAAUAUUCUUUGAUUACUUUUCCAGUGAUAGUAAAAAUGGUUUUACCUGUCACUGUAUCCUCCGGAUAGGUACUUGCAACGACAUUUUUAACGCGUAAUUUAGUGGCGUGACGUUUACCUUCCGUUUAAACAGCGCGUAAGUAUUCCUUUAGGUCAAGGAUAUACCUAAUAUUCAUUGAUUACUUUUCCAGUGAUAGUAAAAAUGGUUUUACCUGUCACUGUAUCCUCCGGAUAGGUACUUGCAACGACAUUUUUAACGAGUACUUUAGUGGCGUGUCGUUUACAUUCCGUUUAAACAGCGCGAAAGUAUUCCUUUAGAUCAAGGAUAUACCUAAUAUUCAUUGAUUACUUUUCCAGUGAUAGUAAAAAUGGUUUUACCUGUCACUGUAUCCCCCGGAUAGGUACUUGCAACGACGUUUUUAACGCGUACUUUAGUGGCGUGUCGAUUACCUUCCGUUUAAAUAGCGCGUAAUUAUUCCUUUAGGGCAAGGAUAUACCUUAUAUUCAUUGAUUACUUUUCCAGUGAUAGUAAAAAUGGUUUAACCUGUCACUGUAUCCUCCGGAUAGGUACUUGCAACGACAUUUUUAACGCGUACUUUAGUGGCAUGUCGUUUGCCUUCCGUUUAAACAGCGCGUAAGUAUUCCUUUAGGUCAAGGAUAUACCUAAUAUUCAUUGAUUACUUUUCCAGUGAUAGUAAAAAUGGUUUAACCUGUCACUGUAUCCUCUGGAUAGGUACUUGCAACGACGUUUUUAACGCGUACUUAAGUGGCGUGUCGUUUACCUUCCGUUUAAACAGCGCGUAAGUAUCGUGUGAGUAGCAUUUUGAAAAUGUUUGGUAUUUCAACAGAAGUACCUAUGAUGCUAUUUUCCUCCUAAGAUAGCUAUUUGCUGUAGUUGGUUGUUUAUACCUUCCGGCAACACCCUUGGCCAGAUCAAGGCUAAAAUAUUUAUCGAUAACUUUUCUAAAUAGAAAAAGACUUUCUAUGCACUUAAUUAUAAUUUUGACUAGUUUUUAGUAAUUUAACAGAAAUAAUUGCUGAAGUAGGGCAUUUAUACUUUUGGGCAACGCCCUUAGCCAAAUCAGGCUGUAAUAUUUAUCGAUUACUUUUCCAGUGAUGGUAAAAAUGGUUUUACCUGUCACUGUAUCCUCCGGAUAGGUACUUGCAACGACAUUUUUAACGCGUACUUUAGUGGCGUGUCGUUUACCUUCCGUUUAAACAGCGCGUAAGUAUUCCUGUAGGUCAAGGAUAUACCUAAUAUUCAUUGAUUACUUUUCCAGUGAUAGUAAAAAUGGUGUUACCUGUCACUGUAUCCUCCGGAUAGGUACUUGCAACGACAUUUUUAACGCGUACUUUAGUGGCGUGUCGUUUGCCUUCCGUUUAAACAGCGCGUAAGUAUACCUAAUAUUUAUCGAUUACUUUUCCAGUGAGAGUAAAAAUGGUUUUACCUGUCACUGUAUCCUUUUUUUUUAUUUAUUCUAUACAAGUUAUCCCUUGACUACAAUAUCACCUGAUGGUAAGUGAUGAUGUAGUCUUAGAUGUCUUAGAUGGAAGCGGGCUAACUUGUUAGGAGCAGGAUGAAAAUCCACACCCCUUUCGGUUUCUAGACGGCAUUGUACCGGAACGCUAAAUCGCUUGGAGGUACGUCUUUAACGGUAGGGUGGUAACUAGCUACGGCCGAAGCCUCCCACACACAAACAAAAAUCCUAUCCUCCGGAUAGGUACUUGCAACGACAUUUUUAAUGCGUACUUUAGUGGCGUGUCGUUUACCUUCCGUUUAAACAGCGCGUAAGUAUUCCUUUAGGUCAAGGAUAUACCUAAUAUUUAUCGAUUACUUUUCCAGUGAUAGUAAAAAUGGUUUAACCUGUCACUGUAUCCUCCGGAUAGGUACUUGCAGCGACAUUUUUAACGCGUACUUAAGUGGCGUAUCGUUUACCUUCCGUUUAAACAGCGCGUAAGUAUCGUGUGAGUAGCAUUUUGAAAAUGUUUGGUAUUUCAACAGAAGUACCUAUGAUGCUAUUUUCCUACUAAGAUAGCUAUUUGCUGUAGUUGGGUGUUUAUACCUUCCAGCAACACCCUUGGCCAGAUCAAGGCUAAAAUAUUUAUCGAUAACUUUUCCAAAUAGAAAAAGACUUUCUAUGCACUUAAUUAUAAUUUUGACUAGUUUUUGGUAAUUUAACAGAAAUAAUGAUACGUGUUGAUUAUUUGUUCAAUGCGAAUAAGUUGAUAGCGCAGUGGCACCACGGUGCUACGAGCUGCCUUCAGCGUCUGAGCUCCGGUGGUAAAUUUGAGGUAUAAUUUGUAGGACAAUUGUUUCUAGAUGCGCCGCCGGUCUCAGGGUUUCAAGUAUAUACCUAAACUUUGCACAUUCUCUUGUGAAACAGAAGGAUAUUGCCUUGGAUUCUUCUAGUUUAAGGCCCAUUUGCUGAAGUAGGGCAUUUAUACUUUUGGGCAACGCCCUUAGCCAAAUAAGGCUGUAAUAUUUAUGACUUUUCCAGUGAUGGUAAAAAUGGUUUUACCUGUCACUGUAUCCUCCGGGUAGGUAUUUGCAACGACGUUUGUAACGCGCGUUUUAGUCGCAUGUCGUUUACCGUCCGUUAAAAUAGCGCUCAUGUAUCAUCAAUAUGUAUAUUGUGAGUAGCAUUUUAAAACUGUUUGAUAUUUCAAUUGAAGGACCUAUGUUUGUAUUUUCUGUAUGUAUUCUGUCUGUAGUCGGGUAUUUAUAUCUUUGGCCAGAUCAAGGCUGUAAUAUUUAUCGAUUACUUUUCCAAAUAGAAAAAGACUUUAUGUACAAUAAAUUAUAAUUUUGACUACAUUUUGUAUAAUUUUGGUAAUUUUGCAAAAUAAUGAAAUGUUAAAAAAUUUAAAAUUUUGAAGAACCCCCGAAUGUCAUGAAAUUAUUAAUUGCACUAUCGAUCAAGUCAUCAAUCAUCAUCAAAUAAUUUUUCAAAUACCCUUAUUAUUAAAUAUAAUUUUCAUCAUCAUCAUCAUCAUCAUCAUCAUCAUCAUCAUCAUCAUAUUAGCCGAUGGACGUCAACUGCAGGACAUAGGCCUUUUGUAAGGACUUCCAAACAUCACGCAAUCCCUGCGACUCGCUUGAUGUCGUCAGUCCACCUGGUUGGGGGUCGGCCAACACUGCGCUUACUAGUGCGGGGUCGCCAUUCCAGCACUUUGGGACCCCAACGUCCAUCGGCGUCAAGCUUUAUAUGGACAGGACAAAUAUAAUUUUAUAUGUCACUAAUACUUCCGCAUAUUUCUAACGAUAGUUCUUCAUGCAUAAAUAUCCAUAAAUACCUUCCACGCAGGGCAUUUAAUAUGCCGUUUGCUGUUAUUCUUCUUUCUGCUGCUUCAUAAGCAGUGUCGCUAUUUUCCGUGUCACGUUGAAUACGUUUUUUUAGCCACUGUUUUUUAACCGUUCGUGAUUACGGCAGGUAUAAUGCGCCUGUUAUAGAACUCACCCCGCCAAAUAAGUGGGAGGGCAUGUGCAAGCCCGCCUGGGUUAGUACCACACACUCGCAUGUAUUUAAUAUUCGCAUUUGAUAAAGGUGCUUCGUGCAAAUGUGAAUAUUAAUACAAUCUUACCUCAACAAUAGUACUUAUACGGUUGUAUUUAAAAUAAACUGGACUUUGUCCGGUCCAAAAACAUUUUUGUUGAUUUUUAGUUCCUGGAAACAACAACAAAUGCUUUUAGACUUCAAUUAAGUUCAGUUAGUAUUGAGUACAACCGUAUUUCAGUAUCUAUUGUUAGGAGUAGAGUGACGAGUGAGCCAGUUUCUCAGCACACGAGACAAAACACCUCGGGGUUUGUUUCUUUGUGACAUUCUAAACUGAAAUUCGUGGCACCAAAUUUAGCGGUUCUAUCUGGAAUGUUGUAUUUGACGUCACUAGCUUCAAAAGAAUGAACUAAGAAACAGGGUCGAAGUCUCGCGGUGUAGAACCAAUUAUUAGUCAAGAUUGUAACGUCUGCUCUAUUUUUGUUAUAAAUAUAUUUUAUCAAAUUGAUUUUUCUAAUACCCAUAGUAUUUAAAAUAAUUUUACCUGUCACUGAUUCUUUUCGGUACGUGUAGCGGUAUGCGCACAAGUAUCCCGUGCCGUUUAUCUGCCGUUCAGCUGGCAUAUUCACUAUUUUGGUAUUUUUUUAUCAACCUAUUAAAAUACAUAUCAAAUUAAUUAACAAAAUGUCAUCUACCUACUAUAUAUAAGUAACAAAUCAUCCGGUGCCUACUCGUGGAUAUCAUACACUAUGUAAAUGACAUUUCUCAAUUGACUUGUUAUUUACAUUAAUAGGUUAAUAAAGACCAAAAUAGAGAAUAGGCCAGCUGGGCAAUUUUAUUAAACGUUAGCUAUUAUUCUUCUUUUAAGUACUUCGCAGUGUCUAUUUAAUUAAUAUUAAAUAGCGUAAAGUUUUUCGUUGUAUUACACACGUUUGAUCUAUAGCUACUGAUUUUAACCGUUUGUCAAACUCUUCAUUACUAUGACCAGCCUUCUAAUCUACACACUGUUAUACUUUUAUCGUUAAUUCGCUAAAAAAACAUAUAGUCUGAAAAAAAAUUGACGUGGGAGGGCAUGUGCAAGCCCGCCUGGGUUAGUACCACACACUCGCAUGUAUUUAAUUUUCGCAUUUCAUAGAAGUGCUGCAGUGAAUAUUAAUACAACAUUGUUUCAACAAUACUACUAAUAUGGUUGUAAUUACGGUUAUAACUGAAUUGUAUAAUGUUGAGACAGAGAAGCGAGUGAGCCAGUUCCUCAGCACACGAGGCAAAACACCUCGGCGUCUUGUUUCUUUGUGACAUUCUGAACUGAAAUUCGUGACACCUUUAGCAUUUCUUUAAAAUGUUAAACACGAAUAACGAAUGAAGCAAGAAAUAGAGCCCAAGCCUCACAGGGUAGAACCAACAAUUGGUCAAGAUUGUAUCGACUGCCCUAUUUUUGUUAUAAAUUUAUUUCAUCAAUUUGAUACGGGGUACAUGUAGCGGUAGUUUUACGCGCAUAAGUGUCCCGUACCGUUUAUCUGUUCAGGGCAAUUUUCUUUAACGUUUGCUGUUAUUUGCUGUUGUUAUUCUCCCUUUAAGUAUUUCUUAUACAGUGUCAGUUAGAUUUAAAUUAAAAUAGCGUAAGCUUUUUCAUCGUAUCACACAUGUUCGAUCUCUCCAUGAAUAUGACCAACUCCUUACUGUGACACUUUAAUCGAUUACCCGUUAAAAACAUAUAUUCAGGAGGAAUGACGUGGGACCACACUCUCGCAUGGACUUAUUGUUCUCAUUUGGUAGAAGAUUUAUUAUAUACGAUCUGAUUUCAAAACUUGUACUAAUAUUUACGAUUAUAACCGCGUCUCCUGCGAGUGAGCCAGUUUGUCUACUCAUAAGACAACACAAUAAAUACGUUUCAUCAAAUUUUUAAUUACUGCUUUUUAACCGUUCUUAAUUACUCAAGGUAUGAUGCGCCUAUGAAAGAAUUCACCCCGCCCAGGGACUCAAAAUAGGCGUAAAUGUACUUAAUUAAUUUUGUUCAUGUUUGCAUUUACAAUAUUUGCUUGUCAAUUUUUUAACUGUACCGUGAUGAAAUAUCCCGUGCUGUUUACUUUCCAUUUAGGGCAAUUUAAUUUGCCGUUUGCUGAUAUUCUUCUUUAUGCUGCUUCUUAAGCAGUGUCGCUAUUUUUCGUAUCACAAUAAAUAUACGUUCCACUAAAUUUUUAGCUACUGCCUUUUAACCGUUCUUGGUUACUAUCUUGAUGCGCCUGUUAUAAAACUCACCCCGCCCAGGGACGCCCGUAUAGUCGUGAAUAUACUUGAUUUAACAUAUAGAGUGUUUAGUAUCUAAUAUACUAAACACUCUAUAUGUCAAAUCCGCUGCAAAAUUUUAAUGAAUCUGAAUGACUGUGAAAUUUUAUUUGUCAUUUGCUGUUUUGCAUCUUUUUACUGCUUCUAAAAAAUAAGUGGGAGGGCAUGUGCAAGCCCGCCUGGGUUAGUACCACACACUCGCAUGUAUUUAAUAUUCGCAUUUGAUAAAGGUGCUUCGUGCAAAUGUGAAUAUUAAUACAAUCUUACCUCAACAAUAGUACUAAUACGGUUGUAUUUAAAAUAAACUGGACUUUGUCCGGUUCAAAAACAUUUUUCAAAAAAAGGGAGAGGUUACUCAAUUCGACCGUAUAUAUUUUAGACUUCAAUUUAGUUCAGUUAAUAGUGAGUACAACCGCAUUUCUGUAUCUAUUGUUAGGGGUAGAGUUACGAGUGAGCCAGUUUAUCAGCACACGAGACAAAACACCUCGGGGUCUUGUUUCUUUGUGACAUUCUGAACUAAAAUUCGUGGCACCAAAUUUAGCGGCUCUUUAUGAAAUACUGAAUUUGAUGUCACUUGUUACGAAUAACAUAAAAUUGAAAAUUUUGAAGAACCCCGAAUGUCAUGAAAUUAUUAAUUACACUCUCGAUCAAGUCAUCAAUAGUUUCUUUCAGUGCGCUUUCAUUUGAGACCUCACUCGAAUAUAUUUGCUGACAAUCUGUUGUUCUUCCCCAAUUUCAUCCCCCACAACUUUUAAAUAGCUCAACCAAUUUUCAUCAAACAUGUCUAAGAGCACUCGUCCGUAAGUCACCUUUAAUACGAAAAUAACUAAAUUGAAAUCGCUUCAUCCGUUCAGCAACUACAGUGCCACAGACAUGCUGACUGACAGACAGACAGACACGUCAAACUUAUAACACCCCUCUUUUUGCGUCCGAGGUUAAUAAAGAAUGAACUUAGAAACAGGAUCCAAGUCUCGAGGGCAGAAACAGUUAUUAGUCAAGAUUGUAUCGUCUGCCCAAUUUUUGUAACAAAUUUAUUUUAAAAACAUCAGUUUUCAAAUACCCUUAUUAUUUAAUAUAGUUUUACCUGUCACUAAUUCUUCCGCGUAUUUGUGACGAUAGUUUUACGCGCAUAAAUAUCCCGUGCCGUUUAUCUUCCGUUCAGGACAAUUUUAUUUGCCGUUUGCCGUUAUUCUUCUUUCUGCUGAUCCCUAAGCAGUGUCGCUAUUCUCCUUAUCACAAUAAAUACGUUUCACCAAAUUUGUAGCUACUCCUUUUUAGUCGUUCUUGAUUACUCCAGUUAUGAUGCGUCGGUUAAACAACUCACCCCGCCCAGGGACUCGAUACAAGCGUGAAUAACUGAAUGAAUCAAAUUGGCUUUAUAAUAUCAAUGAACAAAUAGAAAUAUAAUGUAAAAAACACUGAUUUUAAUUUUUCGACAUUAUAAUUAAAACUGCAUAAGCUUAUUCGUCGAGUAACAAUAGAUAACUUUCCCGUGCCGUACAGUAAAAAAAUAAGUGGGAGGGCAUGUGCAAGCCCGCCUGGGUUAGUACCACACACUCGCAUGUAUUUAAUAUUCGCAUUUGAUAAAGGUGCUUCGUGCAAAUGUAAAUAUUAAUACAAUCUUACCUCAACAAUAGUACUAAUAUGGUUGUAUUUAAAAUAAACUGGACUUUGCCCGGUAUAAAAACAUUUUUAUUGAUUUUUACUUCCUGAAAACAAUAACAAAUGCUUUUAGACUUCAAUUUAGUUCAGUUAAUAGUGAGUACAACCGCAUUUCAGUAUCUAUUGUUAGGGGUAGAGUUACGAGUGAGCCAGUUUGUCAGCACACGAGACAAAACACCUCGGGGUUUGUUUUUUUGUGACAUUCUAAACUGAAAUUCGUGGCACCAAAUUUAGCGGUUCUAUCUGGAAUGUUGUAUUUGACGUCACUAGCUUCAAAAGAAUGAACUAAGAAACAGGGUCGAAGUCUCGCGGUGUAGAACCAAUUAUUAGUCAAGAUUGUAACGUCUGCUCUAUUUUUGUUAUAAAUAUAUUUUAUCAAAUUGAUUUUUCUAAUACCCAUACUAUUUAAAAUAAUUUUACCUGUCACUGAUUCUUUUGGGUACGUGUAGCGAUAGUUUAAUGCGCACAAGUAUCCCGUGCCGUUUAUCUGCCGUUCAGCUGGCAUAUUCACUAUUUUGGUAUUUUUUUUAUCAACCUAUUAAAAUACAUAUCAAAUUAAUUAACAAAAUGUCAUCUACCUACUAUAUAUAAGUAACAAAUCAUCCGGUGCCUACUCGUGGAUAUCAUACACUAUGUAAAUGACAUUUCUCAAUUGACUUGUUAUUUACAUUAAUAGGUUAAUAAAGACCAAAAUAGAGAAUAGGCCAGCUGGGCAAUUUUAUUAAACGUUAGCUAUUAUUCUUCUUUUAAGUACUUCGCAGUGUCUGUUUAAUUAAUAUUAAAUAGCGUAAGGUUUUUCGUUGUAUUACACACGUUUGAUCUAUAGCUACUGAUUUUAACCGUUUGUCAAACUCUUCAUUACUAUGACCAGCCUUCUAAUCUACACACUGUUAUACUUUUAUCGUUAAUUCGCUAAAAAAACAUAUAGUCUGAAAAAAAAUUGACGUGGGAGGGCAUGUGCAAGCCCGCCUGGGUUAGUACCACACACUCGCAUGUAUUUAAUUUUCGCAUUUCAUAGAAGUGCUGCAGUGAAUAUUAAUACAACAUUGUUUCAACAAUACUACUAAUAUGGUUGUAAUUACGGUUAUAACUGAAUUGUAUAAUGUUGAGACAGAGAAGCGAGUGAGCCAGUUCCUCAGCACACGAGGCAAAACACCUCGGCGUCUUGUUUCUUUGUGACAUUCUGAACUGAAAUUCGUGACACCUUUAGCAUUUCUUUAAAAUGUUAAACACGAAUAACGAAUGAAGCAAGAAAUAGAGCCCAAGCCUCACAGGGUAGAACCAACAAUUGGUCAAGAUUGUAUCGACUGCCCUAUUUUUGUUAUAAAUUUAUUUCAUCAAUUUGAUACGGGGUACAUGUAGCGGUAGUUUUACGCGCAUAAGUGUCCCGUACCGUUUAUCUGUUCAGGGCAAUUUUCUUUAACGUUUGCUGUUAUUUGCUGUUGUUAUUCUCCCUUUAAGUAUUUCUUAUACAGUGUCAGUUAGAUUUAAAUUAAAAUAGCGUAAGCUUUUUCAUCGUAUCACACAUGUUCGAUCUCUCCAUGAAUAUGACCAACUCCUUACUGUGACACUUUUAUCGAUCACCCGUUAAAAACAUAUAUUCAGGAGGAAUGACGUGGGACCACACUCUCGCAUGGACUUAUUGUUCUCAUUUGGUAGAAGAUUUAUUAUAUACGAUCUGAUUUCAAAACUUGUACUAAUAUUUACGAUUAUAACCGCGUCUCCUGCGAGUGAGCCAGUUUGUCUACUCAUAAGACAAAAAAUUAAAUAAAAAUAAAAUACAACCAACUGCAAAACUUACAAACGUACCCACUAAACUAAACAGCGAAAAAUAACAUCAUACUAUAUAUUUAUGUUCUUCCUGCUGAUCAGUUUAAAGACAAUGCUAAGCCGUAUUAUUAUUAUUUUUUAUUAGUAUUCGUAUUAAUUUAGGCCGUUUCUGAAAGAACCACAUGAAAGAGCACUAUUUGAAAUACCUACCUAAAAAUUUUUAAUAUUCAUAACUUCAUAUAAAUCAUCGGCUUGCAUUGUAUUUGUAACGAUAGUUUAACGCGCAUAAAUAUCCCGUGCCGUUUACCUUACCUUUGAAUGAGAAUGAGUAAUUAUUCUUUCUGAUGCUACCUAAGCAGUGUCGCUAUUCUCCGUAACACAAUAAAUAUGUUUCAUCAAAUUUUUAAUUACUGCUUUUUAACCGUUCUUAAUUACUCAAGGUAUGAUGCGCCUAUGAAAGAAUUCACCCCGCCCAGGGACUCAAAAUAGGCGUAAAUGUACUUACUUAAUUUUGUUCAUGUUUGCAUUUACAAUAUUUGCUUGUCAAUUUUUUUACUGUACCGUGACGAAAUAUCCCGUGCUGUUUACUUUCCAUUUAGGGCAAUUUAAUUUGCCGUUUGCUGAUAUUCUUCUUUAUGCUGCUUCUUAAGCAGUGUCGCUAUUUUUCGUAUCACAAUAAAUAUACGUUCCACUAAAUUUUUAGCUACUGCCUUUUAACCAUUCUUGGUUACUAUCUUGAUGCGCCUGUUAUAAAACUCACCCCGCCCAGGGACGCCCGUAUAGUCGUGAAUAUACUUACUCGAUUUUGUUCAAGAUUGUAUUUACAUUAUUUGCUUGUCAACUUUUUUAUUGAUUUAACAUAUAGAGUGUUUAGUAUCUAAUAUACUAAACACUGUAUAUGUCAAAUCCGCUGCAAAAUUUUAAUGAAUCUGUACUGUGAAAUUUUAUUUGUCAUUUGCUGUUUUGCAUCUUUUUACUGCUUCUAAAAAAUAAGUGGGAGGGCAUGUGCAAGCCCGCCUGGGUUAGUACCACACACUCGCAUGUAUUUAAUAUUCGCAUUUGAUAAAGGUGCUUCGUGCAAAUGUGAAUAUUAAUACAAUCUUACCUCAACAAUAGUACUUAUACGGUUGUAUUUAAAAUAAACAUUUUUGUUGAUUUUUACUUCCAGAAAACAAUAACAAAUGCUUUUUAACCGACUUUAAAAAGGAGGAGGUUUCUCAAUUUGACCGUAUAUAUUUUAGACUUAAAUUUAGUUCAGUUAAUAGUCAGUACAACCGCAUUUCGGUAUCUAUUGUUAGGGGUAGAGUGACGAGUGAGCCAGUUUAUCAGCACACGAGACAAAACACCUCGGGGUCUUGUUUCUUUGUGACAUUCUAAACUAAAAUUCGUGGCACCAAAUUUAGCGGUUCCUUAUGAAAUGCUGAAUUUCAUGUCACUAGUUACGAAUAACAUAAAAUUGAAAAUUUUGAAGAACCCCCGAAUGUCAUGAAAUUAUUAAUUACACUUUCGAUCAAGUCAUCAAUAGUCUCUUUCAGUGCGCUUUCAUUUGAGACCCCACUCGAAUAUAUUUGCUGACAUUCUGUUGUUCUUCCCAAUUUCACCCUUUUAAACAGCUCAACCGAUUUUCAUCAAACAUGUCUAAGAGCACUCGUCCGUACUUAAUACAAAAAUAACUAAAUUGAAAUCGCUUCAUCCGUUCAGCAACUACAGUGCCACAGACAUGCUGACUGACAGACAGACAGACAUGUCAAACUUAUUUGACAUGUCUGUCUGUCUGUCAUGUUUAACACCCCUCUUUUUGCGUCCGAGGUUAAUAAAGAAUGAACUUAGAAACAGGAUCCAAGUCUCGAGGGUAGAAACAAUUAUUAGUCAUAAUUGUAUCGUCUGCCCUGUUUUAGUAAUAAAUUUAUUUUAUCAACAUAAUUUUUCAAAUACCCUUAUUAUUAUUAAAUAUAAUUUUAUAUGUCACUAAUACUUCCGCAUAUUUGUAACGAUAGUUCUUCAUGCAUAAAUAUCCCGUGUCGGUUACUUUCCACUAGGGCAUUUUAAUUUGCCGUUUGCUGUUAUUCUUCUUUCUGCUGCUUCUUAAGCAGUGUCGCUAUUUUCCGUGUCACAAUAAAUACGUACCACUAAAUUUUUAGCUUCUGUUUGUUAACCGUUCGUGAUUACUGCAGUUAUAUUGCUCCUGUCAUAGAACUCACCCCGCCCAGGGACUAGAUACAGGCGUGAAUAUACUUACUUGGUUUAGUUCAAGAUUGCAUUUACAAUAUUUGCUUGUCAAUUACUUUUUUUUUAUUUUACUUAAAGAGUGUUUAGUAUCUGAUACCGCGGCAAAAUUUUAAUGAAUCUCUACGUUUUAUUAUUCUUUUUAUUAUAUCUCUAAUGACAAAAGUUUGUCGUUGUAUGCUUCAAGUAAAAAUUUCUUAUGCCCAUAACUUUCCCGUGCCAUACAGUGAAAAAUAAGUGGGAGGGCAUGUGCAAGCCCGCCUGGGUUAGUACCACACACUCGCAUGUAUUUAAUAUUCGCAUUUGAUAAAGGUGCUUCGUGCAAAUGUGAAUAUUAAUACAAUCUUACCUCAACAAUAGUACUAAUACGGUUGUAUUUAAAAUAAACUGGACUUUGUCCGGUCCAAAAACAUUUUUGUUGAUUUUUAGUUCCUGGAAACAACAACAAAUGCUUUUAGACUUCAAUUAAGUUCAGUUAGUAUUGAGUACAACCGUAUUUCAGUAUCUAUUGUUAGGAGUAGAGUGACGAGUGAGCCAGUUUCUCAGCACACGAGACAAAACACCUCAGGGUCUUUUAUGACAUUCUAAAUUGAAAUUCGUGGCAACAUAUUUAGCCGUUCUUUCUGGAAUGCUAAAUUUGUCGUCACUUGUUACGAAUAAAGAAUGAACUAAUAAAAAAGAUCCAAGUCUCACGGGGCAGAAACAGUUAUUAGUCAAGAUUGUAUCGUCUGCCCAAUUUUUGUAACAAAUUUAUUUUAAAAACAUCAGUUUUCAAAUACCCUUAUUAUUUAAUAUAGUUUUACCUGUCACUGAUUCUUCCGCGUAUUUGUGACGAUAGUUUUACGCGCAUAAAAAUCCCGUGCCGUUUACCUUCCGUUCAGGACUAUUUUGUUUGCCGUUUGCCGUUAUUCUUCUUUCUGCUGAUCCCUAAGCAGUGUCGCUAUUCUCCUUAUCUCAAUAAAUACGUUUCACCAAAUUUGUAACUACUCCUUUUUAGUCGUUAUUGAUUACUCCAGUUAUGAUGCGUCGGUUAAACAACUCACCCCGCCCAGGGACUCGAUACAGGCGUGAAUAACUGAAUGAAUCAAAUUAGCUUUAUAAUAUCAAUGACCAAAUGGAAAUAUAAUUUAAAAAACACUGAUUUUUUCGAAAUUAUAAUUAAAACUGCAUAAGCUUAUUCGUCGAGUAACAAUAGAUAACUUUCCCGUGCCGUACAGUGAAAAAUAAGUGGGAGGGCAUGUGCAAGCCCGCCUGGGUUAGUACCACACACUCGCAUGUGUUUAAUAUUCGCAUUUGAUAAAGGUGCUUCGUGCAAAUGUGAAUAUUAAUACAAUCUUACCUCAACAAUAGUACUUAUACGGUUGUAUUUAAAAUAAACUGGACUUUGUCCGGUCCAAAAACAUUUUUGUUGAUUUUUAGUUCCUGGAAACAACAACAAAUGCUUUUAGACUUCAAUUAAGUUCAGUUAGUAUUGAGUACAACCGUAUUUCAGUAUCUAUUGUUAGGAGUAGAGUGACGAGUGAGCCAGUUUCUCAGCACACGAGACAAAACACCUCGGGGUCUUUUAUGACAUUCUAAAUUGAAAUUCGUGGCAACAUAUUUAGCCGUUCUUUCUGGAAUGCUAAAUUUGUCGUCACUUGUUACGAAUAAAGAAUGUACUAAUAAAAAAGAUCCAAGUCUCACGGGGCAGAAACAGUUAUUAGUCAAGAUUGUAUCGUCUGCCCAAUUUUUGUAACAAAUUUAUUUUAAAAACAUCAGUUUUCAAAUACCCUUAUUAUUUAAUAUAGUUUUACCUGUCACUGAUUCUUCCGCGUAUUUGUGACGAUAGUUUUACGCGCAUAAAAAUCCCGUGCCGUUUACCUUCCGUUCAGGACUAUUUUGUUUGCCGUUUGCCGUUAUUCUUCUUUCUGCUGAUCCCUAAGCAGUGUCGCUAUUCUCCUUAUCACAAUAAAUACGUUUCACCAAAUUUGUAGCUACUCCUUUUUAGUCGUUCUUGAUUACUCCAGUUAUGAUGCGUCGGUUAAACAACUCACCCCGCCCAGGGACUCGAUACAGGCGUGAAUAACUGAAUGAAUCAAAUUAGCUUUAUAAUAUCAAUGACCAAAUAGAAAUAUAAUUUAAAAAACACUGAUUUUAAUUUUUCGACAUUAUAAUUAAAACUGCAUAAGCUUAUUCGUCGAGUAACAAAAGAUAACUUUCCCGUGCCGUACAGUGAAAAAUAAGUGGGAGGGCAUGUGCAAGCCCGCCUGGGUUAGUACCACACACUCGCAUGUAUUUAAUAUUCGCAUUUGAUAAAGGUGCUUCGUGCAAAUGUGAAUAUUAAUACAAUCUUACCUCAACAAUAGUACUUAUACGGUUGUAUUUAAAAUAAACUGGACUUUGUCCGGUCCAAAAACAUUUUUGUUGAUUUGUAGUUCCUGGAAACAACAACAAAUGCUUUUAGACUUCAAUUAAGUUCAGUUAGUAUUGAGUACAACCGUAUUUCAGUAUAUAUUGUUAGGAGUAGAGUGACGAGUGAGCCAGUUUCUCAGCACACGAGACAAAACACCUCGGGGUCUUUUAUGACAUUCUAAAUUGAAAUUCGUGGCAACAUAUUUAGCCGUUCUUUCUGGAAUGCUAAAUUUGUCGUCACUUGUUACGAAUAAAGAAUGAACUAAUAAAAAAGAUCCAAGUCUCACGGGGCAGAAACAGUUAUUAGUCAAGAUUGUAUCGUCUGCCCAAUUUUUGUAACAAAUUUAUUUUAAAAACAUCAGUUUUCAAAUACCCUUAUUAUUUAAUAUAGUUUUACCUGUCACUGAUUCUUCCGCGUAUUUGUGACGAUAGUUUUACGCGCAUAAAAAUCCCGUGCCGUUUACCUUCCGUUCAGGACUAUUUUGUUUGCCGUUUGCCGUUAUUCUUCUUUCUGCUGAUCCCUAAGCAGUGUCGCUAUUCUCCUUAUCACAAUAAAUACGUUUCACCAAAUUUGUAGCUACUCCUUUUUAGUCGUUCUUGAUUACUCCAGUUAUGACGCGUCGGUUAAAAAACUCACCCCGCCCAGGGACUAGAUACAGGCGUGAAUAACUGAAUGAAUCAAAUUAGCUUUAUAAUAUCAAUGACCAAAUGGAAAUAUAAUUUAAAAAACACUGAUUUUUUCGAAAUUAUAAUUAAAACUGCAUAAGCUUAUUCGUCGAGUAACAAUAGAUAACUUUCCCGUGCCGUACAGUGAAAAAUAAGUGGGAGGGCAUGUGCAAGCCCGCCUGGGUUAGUACCACACACUCGCAUGUAUUUAAUAUUCGCAUUUGAUAAAGGUGCUUCGUGCAAAUGUGAAUAUUAAUACAAUCUUACCUCAACAAUAGUACUAAUACGGUUGUAUUUAAAAUAAACUGGACUUUGUCCGGUCCAAAAACAUUUUUGUUGAUUUUUAGUUCCUGGAAACAACAACAAAUGCUUUUAGACUUCAAUUAAGUUCAGUUAGUAUUGAGUACAACCGUAUUUCAGUAUCUAUUGUUAGGAGUAGAGUGACGAGUGAGCCAGUUUCUCAGCACACGAGACAAAACACCUCAGGGUCUUUUAUGACAUUCUAAAUUGAAAUUCGUGGCAACAUAUUUAGCCGUUCUUUCUGGAAUGCUAAAUUUGUCGUCACUUGUUACGAAUAAAGAAUGUACUAAUAAAAAAGAUCCAAGUCUCACGGGGCAGAAACAGUUAUUAGUCAAGAUUGUAUCGUCUGCCCAAUUUUUGUAACAAAUUUAUUUUAAAAACAUCAGUUUUCAAAUACCCUUAUUAUUUAAUAUAGUUUUACCUGUCACUGAUUCUUCCGCGUAUUUGUGACGAUAGUUUUACGCGCAUAAAAAUCCCGUGCCGUUUACCUUCCGUUCAGGACUAUUUUGUUUGCCGUUUGCCGUUAUUCUUCUUUCUGCUGAUCCCUAAGCAGUGUCGCUAUUCUCCUUAUCACAAUAAAUACGUUUCACCAAAUUUGUAGCUACUCCUUUUUAGUCGUUCUUGAUUACUCCAGUUAUGAUGCGUCGGUUAAACAACUCACCCCGCCCAGGGACUCGAUACAGGCGUGAAUAACUGAAUGAAUCAAAUUAGCUUUAUAAUAUCAAUGACCAAAUAGAAAUAUAAUUUAAAAAACACUGAUUUUAAUUUUUCGACAUUAUAAUUAAAACUGCAUAAGCUUAUUCGUCGAGUAACAAAAGAUAACUUUCCCGUGCCGUACAGUGAAAAAUAAGUGGGAGGGCAUGUGCAAGCCCGCCUGGGUUAGUACCACACACUCGCAUGUAUUUAAUAUUCGCAUUUGAUAAAGGUGCUUCGUGCAAAUGUGAAUAUUAAUACAAUCUUACCUCAACAAUAGUACUUACACGGUUGUAUUUAAAAUAAACUGGACUUUGUCCGGUCCAAAAACAUUUUUGUUGAUUUGUAGUUCCUGGAAACAACAACAAAUGCUUUUAGACUUCAAUUAAGUUCAGUUAGUAUUGAGUACAACCGUAUUUCAGUAUCUAUUGUUAGGAGUAGAGUGACGAGUGAGCCAGUUUCUCAGCACACGAGACAAAACACCUCAGGGUCUUUUAUGACAUUCUAAAUUGAAAUUCGUGGCAACAUAUUUAGCCGUUCUUUCUGGAAUGCUAAAUUUGUCGUCACUUGUUACGAAUAAAGAAUGAACUAAUAAAAAAGAUCCAAGUCUCACGGGGCAGAAACAGUUAUUAGUCAAGAUUGUAUCGUCUGCCCAAUUUUUGUAACAAAUUUAUUUUAAAAACAUCAGUUUUCAAAUACCCUUAUUAUUUAAUAUAGUUUUACCUGUCACUGAUUCUUCCGCGUAUUUGUGACGAUAGUUUUACGCGCAUAAAAAUCCCGUGCCGUUUACCUUCCGUUCAGGACUAUUUUGUUUGCCGUUUGCCGUUAUUCUUCUUUCUGCUGAUCCCUAAGCAGUGUCGCUAUUCUCCUUAUCACAAUAAAUACGUUUCACCAAAUUUGUAGCUACUCCUUUUUAGUCGUUCUUGAUUACUCCAGUUAUGACGCGUCGGUUAAAAAACUCACCCCGCCCAGGGACUCGAUACAGGCGUGAAUAACUGAAUGAAUCAAAUUGGCUUUAUAAUAUCAAUGACCAAAUGGAAAUAUAAUUUAAAAAACACUGAUUUUUCGACAUUAUAAUUAAAACUGCAUAAGCUUAUUCGUCGAGUAACAAUAGAUAACUUUCCCGUGCCAUACAGUGAAAAAUAAGUGGGAGGGCAUGUGCAAGCCCGCCUGGGUUAGUACCACACACUCGCAUGUAUUUAAUAUUCGCAUUUGAUAAAGGUGCUUCGUGCAAAUGUGAAUAUUAAUACAAUCUUACCUCAACAAUAGUACUUAUGCGGUUGUAUUUAAAAUAAACUGGAUUUUGUCCGGUUCAAAAAAAAUUUUCAAAAAAAGGGAGAGGUUACUCAAUUCGUCCGUAUAUAUUUUAGACUUUAAUUUAGUUCAGUUAAUAGUGAGUACAACCGCAUUUCGGUAUCUAUUGUUAGGGGUAGAGUGACGAGUGAGCCAGUUUAUCAGCACACGAGACAAAACACCUCAGGGGUCUUGUUUUUUUGUGACAUUCUAAACUAAAAUUCGUGGCACCAAAUUUAGCGGCUCUUUAUGAAAUACUGAAUUUGAUGUCACUAGUUACGAAUAACAUAAAAUUGAAAAUUUUGAAGAACCCCCGAAUGUCAUGAAAUUAUUAAUUACACUUUCGAUCAAGUCAUCAAUAGCCUCUUUCAGUGCGCUUUCAUUUGAGACCCCACUCGAAUAUAUUUGCUGACAUUCAGUUGUUCUUCCCAAUUUCACCCCUCACAACUUUUAAACAGCUCAACCGAUUUUCAUCAAACAUGUCUAAGAGCACUCGUCCGUAAGUCACCUUUAAUACGAAAAUAACUAAAUUGAAAUCGCUUCAUCCGUUCAGCAACUACAGUGCCACAGACAUGCUGACUGACAGACAGACAAACACGUCAAACUUAUAACACCCCUCUUUUUGCGUCCGAGGUUAAUAAAGAAAGAACUUAGAAACAGGAUCCAAGUCUCGAGGGUAGAAACAAUUAUUAGUCAUAAUUGUAUUGUCUGCCCUGUUUUAGUAAUACAUUUAUUUUAUCAACAUAAUUUUUCAAAUACCCUUAUUAUUAUUAAAUAUAAUUUUAUAUGUCACUAAUACUUCCGCAUAUUUGUAACGAUAGUUCUUCAUGCAUAAAUAUCCCGUGUCGGUUACUUUCCACUGAGGGCAUUUUAAUUUGCCGUUUGCUGUUAUUCUUCUUUCUGCUGCUUCUUAAGCAGUGUCGCUAUUUUCCGUGUCACAAUAAAUACGUUCCACUAAAUUUUUAGCUUCUGUUUGUUAACCGUUCGUGAUUACUGCAGUUAUAUUGCUCCUGUCAUAGAACUCACCCCGCCCAGGGACUAGAUACAGGCGUGAAUAUACUUACUUGGUUUAGUUCAAGAUUGCAUUUACAAUAUUUGCUUGUCAAUUACAUUUUUUUAUUUUACUUAAAGAGUGUUUAGUAUCUGAUACCGCGGCAAAAUUUUAAUGAAUCUCUACGUUUUAUUAUUCUUUUUAUUAUAUCUCUAAUGACAAAAGUUUGUCGUUGUAUGCUUCAAGUAAAAAUUUCUUAUGCCCAUAACUUUCCCGUGCCAUACAGUGAAAAAUAAGUGGGAGGGCAUGUGCAAGCCCGCCUGGGUUAGUACCACACACUCGCAUGUAUUUAAUAUUCGCAUUUGAUAAAGGUGCUUCGUGCAAAUGUGAAUAUUAAUACAAUCUUACCUCAACAAUAGUACUUAUACGGUUGUAUUUAAAAUAAACUGGACUUUGUCCGGUCCAAAAACAUUUUUGUUGAUUUUUAGUUCCUGGAAACAACAACAAAUGCUUUUAGACUUCAAUUAAGUUCAGUUAGUAUUGAGUACAACCGUAUUUCAGUAUCUAUUGUUAGGAGUAGAGUGACGAGUGAGCCAGUUUCUCAGCACACGAGACAAAACACCUCAGGGUCUUUUAUGACAUUCUAAAUUGAAAUUCGUGGCAACAUAUUUAGCCGUUCUUUCUGGAAUGCUAAAUUUGUCGUCACUUGUUACAAAUAAAGAAUGUACUAAUAAAAAAGAUCCAAGUCUCACGGGGCAGAAACAGUUAUUAGUCAAGAUUGUAUCGUCUGCCCAAUUUUUGUAACAAAUUUAUUUUAAAAACAUCAGUUUUCAAAUACCCUUAUUAUUUAAUAUAGUUUUACCUGUCACUGAUUCUUCCGCGUAUUUGUGACGAUAGUUUUACGCGCAUAAAAAUCCCGUGCCGUUUACCUUCCGUUCAGGACUAUUUUGUUUGCCGUUUGCCGUUAUUCUUCUUUCUGCUGAUCCCUAAGCAGUGUCGCUAUUCUCCUUAUCACAAUAAAUACGUUUCACCAAAUUUGUAGCUACUCCUUUUUAGUCGUUCUUGAUUACUCCAGUUAUGAUGCGUCGGUUAAACAACUCACCCCGCCCAGGGACUCGAUACAGGCGUGAAUAACUGAAUGAAUCAAAUUAGCUUUAUAAUAUCAAUGACCAAAUAGAAAUAUAAUUUAAAAAACACUGAUUUUAAUUUUUCGACAUUAUAAUUAAAACUGCAUAAGCUUAUUCGUCGAGUAACAAUAGAUAACUUUCCCGUGCCGUACAGUGAAAAAUAAGUGGGAGGGCAUGUGCAAGCCCGCCUGGGUUAGUACCACACACUCGCAUGUAUUUAAUAUUCGCAUUUGAUAAAGGUGCCACGCGCAAAUGUGAAUAAUAAUACAAUCUUACCUCAACAAUAGUACUGAUACGGUUGUAUUUAAAACAUGCUGUACUUUGUCCGGUUUAAAAACAUUUUUAUUUAUUUUUAUUUCGUGAAAAUAUUAAAAAUCCUUUUAUACUUCAUUUAACUUCAGUUUGUAGUAAGUACAACCGCAUUUCAGUAUCUAUUGUUGGGGAUAGAAUGACGAGUGAGCCAGUUUGUCAGCACACGAGACAAAACAUCUCAGGGUCUUGUUUCUUUGUGAUAUUCUAAACUGAAAUUCGUGGCACCAAAUUUACUUGUUAUUUCUGACAUGUUAAGUUUGAUAUCACGAGUUACGAAUAACGAAUUAACAAAGAAACAGGGUCCAAGUCUCCCAUCACUCACCCUCUCUGCCCUUUUUCUUAUACAUUUAUUUUAUUAAAAUAAUUUUCACAUAUCUUUUGAUUUAUGUUCUCAAAAUUGUUAAAUAUUAAGUGUCCUCCAUAUUGUGCAUUUGAUAUUAAUUUUACUAUUUUUAUUCUCGAAUAGCAUCGAAUAGUCUUUAAAUAUCACUAAGUGCUUGACUAGUUUUAAAGUAAAAGUAUCAUAUCUAAUUUAUCUUUCAGUUUAGGUGCAGCAUACUUAUCCAAUGAUUUCCGACAUUAUGAUAUUAUUUAUUGUAACUUGCUUUGUCUUGUAUAUUAUUCAUAUUAUUCAUAGCUGAAUUCUGAUAUUUUCUAAGGAGAUGGAUGAUGUUACACCCAGCCAACCUACCUGAUGCACAUAACCUACUAAAAUCAACAAAAAAUAAUAAAAUAAAAAAAAAGAAAUACAACAAUACUGUAAUGAAUUAAUCAAUAGAGAUGGGAAGAAGGACAAAGAAAACGAUUAAAGACUAAAAGAAAGAGCAACAGAUAAAAGGAGACAGGUUUUUGAAUUGUGCUACUGAAUUACAAAAAAGAUAUUGACCAGAAAUUCAUCCUUCUUCUCAUUUUUUAUUUAAUAUCAUCCAUUUCCUUUAAAUAAGCAAGCAUUUUAGAUUAUCCAUAAGUAAUUCAUAGGUUAGCCUGUCUCGUAGAUUUAUGUUAGGGUAUUUAGUUUUAAGUUAGUUUAAGUAGUUUUAAGUUAGGUUAAGUAGUUUUAAGUUAGGUUAAGUAGUUUUAAGUUAGAUAAACUAGUCUUAAGAAGACGCCGCGGAGUCUCUCAUAAAAAUAUUUGAAUAAAAAUAUUUUCUUCACUCUUUAACUAAAGUAUAGUGAACGUGCACAGAGAUAGAAGAUAAGCAGUUACUAAGAUAUUGAAAUUAAAUUGAAAAUUAGCAAUAUGAUUGUAAGUUGACUAAAAUUUGUAUUCGGUCAAGUCAAAAGUUUCGAGAGUCAUCAUGUAUCGCUCCUAGGAUGAUUAGUUUGAGUACUUUAACAUUCGUCACAGCAAGAUAAGCAGAAGGAGUUUACCAAUUAGGCGGGUGUCGUAAGAGCCAUAUAUAACAUCCAUUUGCAGCAGAAGGAGUUUUCCAACUAGGCGGAUGUUUAAAGAUACAACAUUCAUUCGUUGCAAGAAGUUAACCAGAAGUAGUUUUCCAACAAAGCAGCUUUCAAGAGAGCCAUAUACAACAUCCAUUCACUAAAGGUUAAGCAUAAUGAGAUUUCCAACUAUGUUUAGAGUCAUCAUGAGAGUCAGCAAGUUAAGCUGAAGGAGUUUUCCAACCAGGUGUAUGUCAAAAGAUCCAUAUACUACAUCCACUUGCCGCAGCAAGUUAAGCAGUUUGUCGACCUCCUCAGCAGGGACAGGUGACAUACAAAUAUGAGCAAGUGGUCGACUUGAUUGCCAGUAAAUCGACUACUUCGUUGUGAUUGCAUGUCCCCACAGACGGCCUAAAAACAGGUUAAUUGAGAAUUAGGCUCAAUAGUUCAACGGUAAAGGGGCCGGACUCAACACCGAGGGGUUCGAUCCCGGCCCGCUGGACUAUCGACCUACCCACUCCUAACACAGUUUUUAGGUUCAACACUGCUUGCCUGCCGGUCAUUAUUAUCAACCUAUUAAAAUGUACAUCAGAAUCAAUUGAGAAAUGUCAUUUGCCUACUUAGUACGGAUCUCGUAAAGAAGGCAUAACAAAUACAAACCCUCACAUGUUAUAUAAUUGGGAUAGAAAAUAAAUGAUUGAAAAUAUCCACAUCGACACAUUGCACAUUGGUUGCAUAUAGGUUGUUACAUUAUUGCAGCGUUAUAGAAUUAAAUGAAUAUUUUUUUUAUAAUUUAUUAAAAAAAAUAAGUCCUUCAGGCAUUGGUUACUUUAAAAUAAAUCGUACACUAGAUCAUACAAUCUAUACUAAUAUUAUAAUGCUAAAGAGUUUGUUUGUUUGUUUGUUUGAUUGAUUGAACGCGCUAAUCUCAGAAACUACUGGACCGAUUCGAAAAAUUCUUUCAGUGUUAGAUAGCCCAUUUAUCGAGGAAGGCUAUAGGCUAUAUUAUCCCCGUAUUCCUACGGUACAGGGAACCACGCGGGUGAAACCGCGCGACGCCAGCUAGUAUAUAAUAAUUAUAAAAAGUAAAGGUUGCCUGCUUUCACACUGCAACUGUGGGGUUGCCAGAUAUAAACAAUUCAGCAAUGUUAUCACAUACCCUCAUCAUUUAUUUAAUCAUCAAAUGUGUCAAAUGAAAGCUUAUUUUAUUCGUGUCUUUUAUCUACUUUAUGGUUUCCUAAAUGUUGUAUGAAAAAUCUGUUUGGCCCCAACUUUACUAGGCAACCUAUUUGGAAUGUGUCACUGUGAACAUUAACUAUCAUUUAUUUCAUAGCACUAAUGAAUAUCAGAUGAGGGUAUAUAAUUCUAAUGUCGGAUCUUAGACCAACUGUAUCACAUCAACCAGUAGGCACCGGUGACAUUUGUUACAUAGAAUCUCAAUUUCGUAUAUGUAAACUGUCAUACGUCAAAGAUAGUGAAUUAGACGGCUGUAUCGUCUGGAGUGCACGCUGUUUGUGAUUUUAAUAACUAUUCAGCAUUCUGGAGCAUACCGGAUGUAAACCAAUUUUAUGUAUUCGAUAUUAAAAUAAAAAUAAUAAUAAAAGCCUCAUUUAAGUUUAGGUAUGUGCAUAAACUAGUACAAAAAUAUAAAGUUUGUUGUGGGAUUUUUCUCAUAGCAAUAAGCCUUUAGGAAUAUAAUUUGAAUUACUAUUUUAAUUAUUAGUGUUAGUAAAUUUUUUCAAUAUUAACAUUCUUUAAUUUGUUCUUUCUGGAUAAAACAUUAAUUGAGUUUGAAUAUAAUAAAUAGUAUACUAUAUUUCUACUUAACCUAUAUUGUAUACAAUGAAGAUUCUCAAUAUUCUAAACGAAAUUUGACUUUUGAUUUGAUCAUAAUUUGAGCCAACUUUUAGUAUUUACUACAUAAUUACAAAACAAUACCUAUAAAUUAUUACUCUCAAAAUACAUAUGUUCACUUCAAUUCUCAGAAAUCUGAAUAAAUAAAUAAAUUUAUUACUAAAAUUUUAUCAAAUAAUUUAUUUAUUUAUUAAAUGAAAAUAUUAUUAAAUUAUUAUGUAUCUUUUUGUUAUAAAGAAAAUGUGUGCAUAGUUUCAUGUCCCUUCUGCUAAGAAAAACAAUUGAAAAAUUCUCUCCUUUAAUUCCGUCCUUCUCCUGUGGACUUUAGAUAAUUGAAUUACUGCUUAUUUUCAGUCUGUGUAGUGCACGUCGUCGUCGUAGUAGUGAUCAAUAAUAACUGAUUAUUCAGCAUACGGAAGCACUUAGCGUCACACUAAUUAGGUGUAUUUGCUAUUAUUUAAGUACCUAUUUAAAAAACAAAGAAAAUGUUAAUAUUUAUGUAUGUAUUUAGAUCGCAUUAUAGGGCAUGUUCUGCUAGUACGAUUUCUGACAAUUAAAAAAGUAGCUAAGAAAGGGAAACCUCAGCUAGGUCAUCUUUAGGCUGUUUCCAGACUAAUGCGCUAUUUAACCCCUCACAGCGUUAGUUUUCAAUUCUACGAGAUUUUGUAAACCCUAAAGAACAUCCAUCAUAAUACCAUCAUAAUCAGUAUAAUUAAGGAAACUUUUAUUAUAAUUAUAAUUAUAAGAAGGUUUGAAAAUGAUGAGUUUAGGAUUUUUUGUAGGUGUACAAUUUAUAUUUUUUACAUUCACCAAGUUUUUCGUACCCUUAAUUCUUUAUUUCGUACUAAAUAACGCACGCUAUUGACGAUCAAUUAUUCUCUCGUUUUUGCAGCACCCACGACUAUAAUUGAUCGUGUAUUGGUCGCUGCGUGCAUGACGGCUCGACUUAUAAAACGUCUUCGCUGCCGUUUGCGCUGCAGAAACGUGAGAAUAUUUGACCAUAAGUUAUAUUAUUACCUACCUCUUAUAUUAACUGUGCAAUGUUUAAAUUAUAUUGACAACAAUUGAAGUUUUCAUAUCGUUAUGAAUUAUUUCAGCUCGUAUUAUAUUCUUGCAUUGUAGAAAAGGUAUUCUAUUUGUAUCGGCCGUAUUAGCAGUUAAGUAUAUAAUAACCUUUAUCACGCCUCGUACUUCCAAUAGUUACCUAUAUUACUAUGAACAUUGAUUUAUAUCCGAUUGUAGCAUACUAUUGUAGUUAUACAUUUUAUAAAUCCCUAAAUACUAUCAAAUUUGUCUUAGAACAUAAAAUUUAUAACGUAUUAUAAAAUUGGCAACAUGUAGAACUGUAAAACUGUAAUUUUGUAAUAUGUUAAUCAAUUAAUUUACCAUUAGUAUUAAGACAGUAUUAGCUCGAUAGAGAUAGAGCCGCGUGCAGUCAUUUACAAUAACCUCACCGUUACUCUGAUUUACAAGUGCUUAAGCGCCAACGUUUUUUAUGGCAGGGGAGGGAUGAUGCUAUAACAUAAAAUUGAAAAUUUUGGAAAACUCCGGAAGGUCAUAAAAUUAUUAAUUACGCUCUCGAUCAAGUCAUCAAUAUUCUCUUUCAGUGCGCUUUCAUUUGGGACCCCACUCGAGUAUAUUUGCAGACAUUCGGUUGGUCUUCCCCACUUUCACCCCCAGAACUUUUAAACGGCUUAACCAAUUUUCAACAAAUAUGUUUAAGAACACUCGCACAUAAGUCACCUUUCAUCUAUACUAAUAUUAUAAAGCUGAAGAGUUUGUUUGUUUGAUUGAACGCGCUAAUCUCAGUAACUACUGGUCCGAUUUGAAAAAUUCUUUCAGUGUUAGAUAGCCCAUUUAACGAGGAAGGAUAUAGGCUAUAUUUUAUCCCCGUAUUCCUUCGGGAACGGGGACCACGCGGGUGAAACGGGGUGGCGUCAUCUAGUACAAAAUAAAUUGAAUUGAAAUCGCUUAAUCCGUUCGGGAGCUAUGGUGCCACAGACAGACACGUCAAACAUAUAACACCUUACUUUUUGCGUCGGGGGUUAAAAAGUAUACUUACCUACUCGAGCGGUGCGGAAACCUAUUCAUCAAUCAUCAUUAUCAACUGAUCGACGUCCACUGCUGGACAAAGGCCUCUUGAAUGGACUUCUAAACAAAACCGUCUUGCUACCUGCAACCCGCAACCUACUAUUAUUAGAUUUAUUAAAUUUGGUAGGAAGAUUAAAUGUUUUAAGGAUUUCCGCUUUCAGCAGUGGGAUAAAAAAAACUGCAGAGUUUAAAAAACAACUUUUAUCAUUUUGCCCUUCCAAAGCGUCUGAAAAUAUUUUUGUUUUUGAAAUUAUUUUCUGUAUAAUAAAAUAAUUAACCGCGCUCAUACCUUGAAAACAAAAUUAGAAGGGUUUUUCUUAGCAACUUGGCUUGCUGUAGUGAUACUAUAAGGCUUUCGUUUAGACUAUGGAACUCUAAAAAGGGAUUUGGUUUUCAGAAAACGUCUUAAGUGAGAUUUUUUAAAAUUCAAUAAUAAGAGGAUAUUUUCUAAAAAAAGCCCUGUCUUUCGGAACCAUAAGAUCAAUAUUAUAGUUCACCCAGAUGAAAAUUCAACCAAAAAUUGGUAGGUACUUUUUCCCGCGAGGAGCACACCACUUCGAACAUUAUCAAUUUAUACUUAUCAAUAAAAUGAAAAAAAAUAUUUAGGUAAAAUUCCUGAAUGUUUUAGUUUCUUAAUUUUUAUAUAUAACGUUUAAAUCGAUAAUGAACCCGCAGUGGGAUGUCGCCCGAGUAACAGAUGACUCGUUUUCGGUUAUAUUUUCAUUUCCUUGGGAAAACUAAAGUCUUUCAGGUCUGAAGGAUUUAUAGAAAAUUAUUCUCUAUUUAGUGAAUCUUUUUAAUUAAUAGUGGUACAUGUAUAUUUCGUAUAUUAUGUUAAAAGUAGGUGAUUUUAGAUUUACUUUUUCUUCCAAAUCUAAUUACUUGGAAUCUUGAGUAUUACGCAUGUUUCCCUGUCUGAUACAAAAAGUUGGCGUAAACAGCACCUAAGCUAAGCUAAGCUAAGCUAAGUUGUAAAAUGCUAGACGUAGUAUAAAUGUCUCUAUGCAAAUCACCAAUGUAUUUUAGAUAACUGUGUAGGUUAUUGUAAAAUAAAUAGCCGUUAUUUCUCUUCUAUUAAAUAAUAACUACAAUUAAAAGCUGAGGUAAAUAAAGAUAGUAACAAAACUAAGGAUAUAAAGAAUAUUAAAUAAUACUUUGUAGAAUGCUUUCUUUUUUAAAUUAUAAUAAGUAGCAAUAUAUUAACCGUUUUCACUAGUAAUACAAUUUGAGACACAAGAAUAUUUAAGUAGCAUUAAUAAAUAAAUGUAUAGUGGCCUAUAUAGUAGAAUAUUAGAGGGACACGAAUGUCAAUGUAAUCAUGUAAAUUUAAAUAACAAGGUAUGACGAAAAACUGUAAUAAUUUUAAGUUAGUAUUAGUAUUAGUACUCGGAAAGUAAUAGCUCGAUAGUAUGGAACAGAGACGCGUUUACUUUUAACCUUACCGUCUGUGAACAAAGAAUAUUUCUAUACUAAUAUUAUAAAGUGGAUAGAUUUGAUUGUUUGUUUGUAUGUUUUGAAUAGACUCUGGACUACUACUAACUACUGAACCGAUUUGAAAAAUUCUUUUACUGUUGGGAAGCUACACUAUCCUCGAGUGAUAUAGGCUAUAUUUUGUUCCUGCAUUCCUACGGGAACGGGAACUCGCGGGUGAAACCGCGUGGCGCCUGCUAGUACCGUAUAUUUUUAAUACGACCAACUUUCCUGUACCCCUGCAAUGAUAUGGAAAACCCUGUUUUAGGAGUGAAUACGACAUAAGUCCAGGGGCGGUUGAACCACGAACUCUCAGCUUGAUGAGUCCGACCCCUUACCGUGGACUUAUUGGGUGUUGUAUUUGUCUAAAAAGAUUAUAAUACAAAAUAACUAUAUAUUAACGCUAAUUACUAUAAAUAAGCCGUUAGUACCACACCAUUGAGCUAUUACCUACCUAGGAGUACUUACAUAAAGGUGAAAAGAUGCAGUACUAGAUAAUAGUUGUAAAUACGAAGAAAUGAGAAAUACAAUCGCAAUAAAAUGAACUAAUAGCAUGUAAAUAAUUAUGUUAAAUAUAAACGACUAUAAACACAUAAUAUAAUAGCAUUUUAGCAAUAUAAUUAGUUAUAGUGGUUAUAGUAUAUAGAUUCUUCAAUGUAAGAUGGUGCGUGCGAUAGAUCAACCUAUAUAAAGUUUUAUAUUAUUUUUUUAUAUAAUGUAUGACGGCUAAUGUCUUAAUUAACGCUACCCGCGGGAAAAUCCACGCGACGUAGUAUAAAUCAUAGACUCACUAAUUGUUUAAUUAAUUAAAAUAAAUAGAACAUAUAAAAAUUACUUUUAAUAAAUUAUGUUAUUUUGUUACUAUAUAAUUUUGUUGCAAUUGUCGAUUGUUUGUUUCAAAAAAUGUUCAAUAGAUAAUUUAACAGAAAUACAUCUGUAAUAUUAGAUAGAUUUUGUCUGGUAUUUGUCGUUAUUAUCACAAAAGCUUUUAUUCAACAACGUACAAUAUUUUUUUAAGGAAUAGGCUCGCGCUUGAUCACGAUCUCACCUGAUGGUAAGUGUAGUGGUCUAAGAUGUAACGCGCUUGCUUAGAAAAUGUCUAAUCACUCUCAUCUUAAAGACGUCCCGGUUGUGCGAAUUAGGAAACACUGACUUCGGGAGAGAGUUUCAUACCCUAAUCAUGCGUAUAAAAAACGAAGAACCAAAUAAAUGAUGGAAACCUACCGGAUGUCUUCCAGUGCGAUGGUAAAAUGAUGAGAGUUGUACGAUAUAAAUCUUGAUCAAAUUAAUUACAUUAAUUUUAACGAUUUUAAUCGAUAAUUAAUACUAGGGCCGUAGAAUUGUUAAUUAGUAUUUACAAAUCGUUUUUCCUGAUCUCAAUUUACGGCAAACUGACAUCCGCCAGAUGCACCAUCCUACAUUGAUUAAAUUGCAACCGGUAUUCACAAGUAAGUAAUCACAUUCCACUUAAACACAAAAAUCUAAAAUUAUUGUCUGCGAUCGAAGACUUAAACUCUUCAUCUACGGGCUAAGAAUGCCACGGAAGAAAGAAUGGAGGAAAAGUUCAAUAUUCCACAGCCCGACAAAAACACUCAAAACCAGGAACUUGUGAUCCGAACCCACAUGAGCUAACUAUUGGACCAACGAGACAGUUGGUACCUAAUUAAACCUUUUUUAGGGUUUGUAUAAUAUAGUAACGGGGAUAUCAUUGUACUAACACUACAAUUCUCGUUUAAACUGACCUACCCGUUUAGAAUUUGAUUACUUACUUCAAACCGGGCAAUAAUAUAAAAUUCAAAUUUUAUUUGAAUUUUGUUUCACAGUUGAAUAAAAAAUAUAAAAAAGAAAAAAAAAAACAUAAAAUAAACAAAAUCAUACAAAAAAAAUGACAGAUAGACAUGUCAUGAUCUUCAAGAAAUAUGCCUUACAAAUGUACUACUAAAAAGAGAAUAUAACAUAAAGAUGGUUAGUAGUUGUUUAAGUAAAAUAUGUUUAAUUGUAUUAUGGGUAAUAAGGCACUAUUAGCAAAACAAUUCCUAAUACGAAUAGUCGUGUAUUUAAACAUAUUUAUGUACCUAAUUACUUAAACUAAUUAAACUCUUUUUCAGAAAAUUAAAAAUAAAAUUAAGUACUAAAGAAAUUGAGUUAGCGAAGAUUUUUUUCACAAAAUAAAAAGAAAAAUUAAAUUGAUAUAAUAUUAUUAUACCUUUUAACAUAGAGAGCUGUGAUAGCCCAGUGGAUAUGACCUCUGCCUCCGACUCCGGAGGGUGUGGGUUCAAAUCCGGUCCGGGGCAUGCACCUCCAACUUUUCAGUUGUGUGCAUUUUAAGAAAUUAAAUAUCACGUGUCUCAAUCGGUGAAGGAAAACAUCGGGAGGAAACCUGCAUACCAGAGAAUUAUCUUAAUUCUCUGCGUGUGUGAAGUCUGCCAAUCCGCAUUGGGCCAGCGUGGUGGACUAUUACCCUCUCAUUCUGAGAGGAGACUCGAGCUCAGCAGUCAGCCGAAUAUGGGUUGAUGACGAUAACAUAAGAAACCUCUUUACUAAUUGGUAGAUACUUAGCAUUGAUAAAUAUUAAAAUUCUUAUUAAUUAUUGUCUUACCGUAUAAUAUGCUCUACUGGCAUGCUUGUAAGUUAGAUUUUAGAUUAUAAUAAUUGUUCCUAAUAUGCAGGCCUUAUUACCCAUAUGAUCUAAGUCAAGUUGUAAAUAUAGUAAAAGUAUUUGAAAUGUGUACUUUGAACGCUCGCCCAACUACUUCCUCGUAGUUGUAAAUAUUUUAGUUAUAAGUACUUAAGUAGGUAUUUAUAAUGUUUAGAAUGUACUCCUUAAAAUACUUAUUUAUAAUAUUUAGACAUUAAUUCAUAAUAUUAAAAAUGUAAUCCUUAGGACUUAUUCCAUAAUGUAUAAUUUAUAAGGUUUCUUAAUCAAUAGGAUUAUACUCUCUAAUACUCAAUAGAAUAAUAAUUGUAGUCGGCUGCGUUCAAACGGCAAUAUUUAGUGGUUUUUUCAUUUUAUCAAAAUCAGAAGAGGCAGUGUAUGUAUAACUAUAAGUUGUCGUAAAGAAGGCUCUUGAAAUUAUUUUAAUAAGUAACAUCAGUGCUACAAGAAAAUUGACGUAGGUUUUUUUAUUUGUUUUUAUCUAUGUAAUGUAUUUUUCUUCUAAUGAAAUUUCUUUUUCUUUAAGUUUAAAAUACAAACAUUUUUUUUUAAUAAUUCAGGAGAGAAGCAAGUAACGUAUCAAGUGGAAAGACGUGGUCUCUUCUUACCGCUGCUGGAUGAAGCGUCAUGAUUUACUCGUACAUACGUAAAUGUUUUCAAAUUCAUAGUAAAGGUCUUUUAUAUGAUUUCUAGUAAUUUAACCAACCUUACAGUGUAUAUCAUUUAUGCGGGCAGAAAGUAUUGAAUGUGAAACUUAGUGGCGUUUAAGUUUUAGGUGCAUACCUACUUGUACUACGCAUUUUUAACAUCUAUAAGUUCAAAUUUAAAUCGUCAAGACCUACCCGUACCUAUUUAUGGUAAAGGCCGUGUGAACGUAGCCAUUGCGUAAUAAUAAUAUUCGUUCAAAAUAAUUAAAAUUAAUCAAUAUACGUGUAUAAUCAACUCAGAAUAAUUACUUAUGGAUCUGACUCGCUAGACGUUACUUUUCUGCCAAAGUAUAUGGUCAACGAUCUAAUGCGAUUAUAAAAACUGUCUCUAUAGAAUCGAUGUUUCAUAGUUGUAAUCCUGUUCGUCGGUUAUAGAGCUUCGUAAAAAUACCUUUUUGUGUUGAAUGGUUUAAAAAAUGGUCAACUACUUCUAGUUUAGUAAAUAAUAUAUAUCUAAUCUAAACUCGUUUUCUUCAAAAAAUUACAAACAAUUUGGGUGCGAUACUAGUCCUUAGGUAAUUAGUCUGAGAUAAUCAAUGUUAUUAACUAUAAGUUUCAGAGGUUAUUGAUGCUUAUUGUUUUGCUUUCAGCAUGAGCUACUGUGCUACUUGCUAUCCUAUACGACUCGCCAACUACUUUUUACUUAUCUAGGGUAUACCGCGGCUUCUUUCGCGUUGAAUUCGGUUUUUUUCUCUUAUGUCAAAAGAACACAGCUCAUGUGGUGCUCCAAGCUUAGCUUAAUCUAAGAUAUUUAUUAAUGAUAAUAAUUUGUUUUGCCCCCGUUUUCUCCACGUCGUAUUCCUGCUACCCAGAUCCGAAAAACCUGAUUUUACAAUUUCCACUCGAAACUCUGAUCGUAUGACAAAUUUGACUGAACAACGUACAAGUACUAUUUAUGCGCUUAAAACAGGAAAGUAGUUUUGGAGAUAGCGUGAAGAGACAGAGAGAUAAGAGUUUUAAAGAUUAUUUUUUGUGCGUUUGUUGUCAUUAAAAAGAUGAAUAUGUUUUCAGAAGGUGAGUUUAAUGUAUAUUAUGAUGUGUCCAUUUUAUUUCUAAGUUCGAAGUUCUUUAAAGUUUUUCAAAGGUCAAGGUGGAGUUCUUUUUGUGACUUUACAUUUUUAUUAAUCGAUCAAGACUUUUAAACUUUAAUGUCGGACAAUUAAAGGUCAUAGCUCAUUGGACCUACCCGGCGCCAGUCGUUCGCUGUCCACUCGGUGACGUCAAGUGGUCCACGGUAGAGUGCCGCGUGUCAACAAAUUGAAUGAUAGUCCGCAGGAGGAUGUCGCCUUGUUGACCAGUAAAAAUCACCGAGGCGUCGUCCUCGCGCUAGAACGGACGUGAGUAGGUCACGUGGGUCACCGAGUGGUCCAUUCACGUCCAUGCGUUCCAGAGGGCGAGACGCUCCUGAGUUGAUAACCAUAGAGAGGCGAGAAGUACUGAUCAGCAGGCGGGUGGACCCAACGAGCUAUAACCUUAAAUGUGGAAAACUAUACACCCGUAUUCAUAAACAUAGAAUAAGAUUUUUACCUCAAUUUUCUUCAAAGUGCUACUGUUUAAAACUCACUUUUCUUUAAAGAUAUGUGGCGUAUAAAUCUUUAUCUAUGUUUAUAAAUGAGACCGAUAAUGUGGAAAGGGUAUAAUCGAUCGCUGCGCCACACUUUUUAUUUGACUUACAGUUUAAGUAGUCCCUAAUGAAAUUGCAUUUAAGAUGUUAGGUAUAUUAAAAUGAAAACAUGAAAAGGAAAAAAUAUUGGAUUAUAUUCGAUACGAUUCAACAAGUUUGUAAAGAUGUUGUAAUAAAUCUGAUCAUUGAUUAUAACAAAACACUCAUAUCAAAUGGAAAUGUACCAUUUUCGAGAGAAUAAAACUAGAAUUCGAUUAAUUUAGAUGAAGUUUACGAUAAAAUAUAUUUUUUUAAAUUUAGCAUUAGUAAAAAUUUUGAAGAUGCCAAACAAAUUAUGAACGAAAUAGCCGAAAUGAAAUCAUGCAAAAAUAAACGGCGAAUGUAGAAAUUUAAGUUUGUAACAUUUUUCAUAAACGAUUCAGAUAUAAGGACAAACGUAACAGAAGGCACUUUGGGCGGGGCACAUUGACUGUGUGAUGUAAAAUUAGCGACUCCGUAACAGAAAUCUCGUUGACUGAUCCACCAUCGGGUGACAUCGCCCGAGUCGCAGGGCCAGGUAGUCAAGUAUGUCUAUUAGACCUAAUUCCUAUUCCUAUUAUUUUAUGGAAAGAAACCGUCUAUCUAAAAGAUAAUAAAUAGAUUAAUGAUGAUUUAAGUUCCAUAUUUAAAAAAAAAAACGUUAGAAACACUAUUUUGAUGAAGAGGUUUGGAAAAUAAUGAAACAUUUGCUUAAUAAAAAUAACUAUACCUUUUUGUAUCUGAUACUCUUUGUAAACUAUUAAUUUAUUUUAUAUAUCUAGUAUAUAAGUAACGUUGAAGAGGCGGGAGAUGUGAAGGGUCCUAAAUUUUGUAAUAUUUUAAUCACUACGGGUGUAGUUUGAGUUUAUAAUAUGUACUGAAAUUAGUACUAGAAACCGCUUUCAUAAAAUAUUUUUUUCCUAUAGAAAAAGUAUUUGUACUAUGCAAAAUGAGCAGAUAUUUUCUUCUUUUCGUUGAGCAGAUUAAAUAUUAUAUAAAUCAAUGCCUAGGUAUAGAAUCGAGAUAUUGCCAGAAUUUUUUAAAAGAGUUUUUGUAUUUUAAGAAUAUCCCUAAUACCUACUUUUUGUAAUGAGUAGAUACUCGUAAGUAGAAUAAUUUAUCUUAAUUCCUAAUACAGGCGCAGCAUCGAUAAAUAGGUAUAACCUAUGGAAUAAAAUUUUACUACAUUUCCUUUAGGUUUGUUCUAUAUAAUAUAGGGAAGUAAGGACAUAUUUUAUGAAAUAUUUAUAGUAUAUUUCGAACGAGCUUUAUAUCUUGCGCAACGCAUUGUUUUUACUGUACUCCUUCUACUCGUUUCAGAUUUAAAUCUGUCUAUUUUUAUUCGUAGUUAUAACAAAAAAGAUUUUAUGAGAACGAGAUAGAUAAACUGUUGUUAUUAUAAUUUUUAUUACUUUGACACCUUUUUUGCAACUAUGUUAAGUAUACAGGUACAGGUAAAAAGAAGACUGAAAAAGUAUAUAAAAAUUAUUACUUAUUAGUUUACGUUUGAUAAAUUAUGUAGGUAGUUUGACUACUAAUCUCUGGACUAAAGUCAAACAGGGCUUGCCGGAAAUGAAUGUAUAGGGGACCCAUGGACGUAUAGGGGAGCAAAUUAACUCCUUAACUCUUUAGUUACGAUAAACUACGUUUUGAUCGAUUAAUAAAUAUAGGUACAGUAUACGCCAAACUUCUUGUCCGCUCUGAAGUUCCAGAACGCUGAACUGCGCAGCUAAUAUAACCCUUCUGGGGUACGUUUUUGUACGCUGUGCAUCCAUACUUCUCGUGUUCAGUUCGGAAAAGAAGUUUUAGUAAAAAUACCACUUACUUAAAUAGGUAUAUAAGUUUGUUAAUUUUGAUAAUAUGUGUAUAAUUUGUUCGAUAAAUAAUUAUUUAAGUUUAAGUACAAAAUACCUACUUUUUAUAUUUUAAAAGAACUAAGUUUUAGUAAAGCUAAAGCCAAUUAAGUCACUACAUUUAAUCCUACCAUUCUGUAACUUGUCAAAAAAGUAUUUACCUACCUACCAAGUUAUUACUGCUAAUUCACUUUUGUCUAAUUUUCGCAAUUUGAAGAUUCCUAGAUCAUUUUAAUUCUGUUAUUAAAAUUAAAUAUAUGUCCAAUUUAUAUUUUUUUAAUUUAACAAAUAAUGAACUUAUACCAGUAUUUGGAAAGCAGUUGUAUUAAAAAAAUAUAUUUUUACUUAAUUAUGUUUGAUAUACCUAACUGAAUUAGCACUAAUAAUAUAUUGGUAUGGUGGUUGAAACUAAAAUAAAAUGAUAGAACCAUGUUAAUUUUAGAUUCUUAAGUUGUCUCAAAUACACCUUUUAAGUUAA